rnacentral:rRNA from 1 species
UGGGGAAUAGUGGACAAGGGGCGCAAGCCUGAUCCAGCCAUGCCGCGUGAGUGAUGAAGGCCCUAGGGUUGUAAAGCUCUUUCACCGGUGAAGAUAAUGACGGUAACCGGAGAAGAAGCCCCGGCUAACUGCGUGCCAGCAGCCGCGGUAAUACGAAGGGGGCUAGCGUUGUUCGGAUUUACUGGGCGUAAAGCGCACGUAGGCGGCCUUUUAAGUCAGGGGUGAAAUCCCGGGGCUCAACCCCGGAACUGCCUUUGAUACUGGAAGUCUUGAGUAUGGUAGAGGUGAGUGGAAUUCCGCGUGUAGAGGUGAAAUUCGUAGAUAUUCGGAGGAACAACAGUGGCGAAGGCGGCUCACUGGACCAUUACUGACGCUGAGGUGCGAAAGCGUGGGGAGCAAACAGG